CUGAGGGGCCUCGGCCCCGUCAAGAUACCACCCCUUGCAUUUUGAGUACCUCCUGUUUCCUCGGCGGGUCCGCCCGCCAAUGGGGACCACAACAAACCCUCCUGUAGUUGCAGUAAGCGUCCAAAAACACAAUUAAAUCA
rnacentral:misc_RNA from 1 species